rnacentral:rRNA from 1 species
GACGAACGCUGGCGGCGUGCCUAAUACAUGCAAGUCGAGCGAAGUUUUUCUGGUGCUUGCACUAGAAAAACUUAGCGGCGAACGGGUGAGUAACACGUAAAGAACCUGCCUCAUAGACUGGGACAACUAUUGGAAACGAUAGCUAAUACCGGAUAACAGCAUUAACUACAUGGUUGAUGUUUGAAAGUUGGUUUUGCUAACACUAUGAGAUGGCUUUGCGGUGCAUUAGCUAGUUGGUGGGGUAAAGGCCUACCAAGGCGACGAUGCAUAGCCGACCUGAGAGGGUGAUCGGCCACACUGGGACUGAGACACGGCCCAGACUCCUACGGGAGGCAGCAGUAGGGAAUCUUCCGCAAUGGGCGAAAGCCUGACGGAGCAACGCCGCGUGAGUGAAGAAGGAUUUCGGUUCGUAAAGCUCUGUUGUUAGGGAAGAAUGGAUAUGUAGUAACUAUACAUGUACGAGACGGUACCUAACCAGAAAGCCACGGCUAACUACGUGCCAGCAGCCGCGGUAAUACGUAGGUGGCAAGCGUUGUCCGGAAUUAUUGGGCGUAAAGCGCGCGCAGGUGGUUUAAUAAGUCUGAUGUGAAAGCCCACGGCUCAACCGUGGAGGGUCAUUGGAAACUGUUAAACUUGAGUGCAGGAGAGAAAAGUGGAAUUCCUAGUGUAGCGGUGAAAUGCGUAGAGAUUAGGAGGAACACCAGUGGCGAAGGCGGCUUUUUGGCCUGUAACUGACACUGAGGCGCGAAAGCGUGGGGAGCAAACAGG